rnacentral:tRNA from 1 species
GUCUUUGUAGUAUAAUGAUUACCCUGGUCUUGUAAGCCAAAAAUGGAGAACACUCACCCUCCCUAAGACU